rnacentral:rRNA from 1 species
CCUACGGGAGGCAGCAGUGAGGGAUAUUGGUCAAUGGGGGAAACCCUGAACCAGCAACGCCGCGUGAGGGAAGACGGUUUUCGGAUUGUAAACCUCUGUCCUCUGUGAAGAUAAUGACGGUAGCAGAGGAGGAAGCUCCGGCUAACUACGUGCCAGCAGCCGCGGUAAUACGUAGGGAGCAAGCGUUGUCCGGAUUUACUGGGUGUAAAUGGUGCGUAGGCGGUAUGUCAAGUCAAGGGUGAAAUCCCCGCGCUCAACGUGGGAACUGCCUUUGAAACUGGCAAACUGGAGUGUGUGAGAGGAUAGUGGAAUUCCAGGUGUAGGAGUGAAAUCCGUAGAUAUCUGGAGGAACAUCAGUGGCGAAGGCGACUAUCUGGCACAUAACUGACGCUGAGGAGCGAAAGCGUGGGUAGCAAACAGGAUUAGAUACCCCAGUAGUC